rnacentral:rRNA from 1 species
AUGCCGGAACUACCAGUUGUGUGGGGAGAGGACAUGUUUGCUGGCUUGCUUAAAAAUCCAUGGUUGGUGGUCUGUGGUGACAUGCUUCUCAAGGUUGACCUCUCAAUACAUGAUCUCAAAUUCUGCUUUCAAGCCUACCGCCUGGACUUAUCAGUCAAACCCACUAAGUGGGCGAAGAUGAAGAAGUUGGGAAAUUGGGCUCUCUUUCUUUGCCUUGAUAGGAGGAGCUCUACAUUUUCUUGCUUGAACUCUGAAAGAUGGGGCGGGAAGAGUAAUUGCAUUUAUGUUCCGAGCAGAUCCAAAGUUUCGGACGAACCUUGGAUUGAGGUAGAGCUUGGUCAGUUAAUGUCCAGGAGAUCCCAUCCCAUUUCAUACAUUCUCGGACGCAAAAUCAAGCAGCUGGAGAGCUUCUGGGUGCUACCCAGUUUGGUGUAUGGUGUCAGCGAGUGA